GAGGGAUCAGCCCAAAUUUGUAAUCUGGCUCUUUCAGAGUCUGAGUUGUAAUUUCAAGAACUGUUUUCUGCUCUGGACCAUGUACAAGUCUGUUGAAAUGCAGCAUCAUUGAGGGUGAGAAUCCUGUUUAUGAUAUGGACUACCAGUGCUCUAUGAUACAGUCUCUAAGAGUCGAGUUGUUUGGGAAUGCAGCUCAAAGUGGGUGGUAAAUUCCAUCUAAGGCUAAAUAUUGGUGAGAGACCGAUAGCAAACAAGUACCGUGAGGGAAAGAUGAAAAGAACUUUGGAAAGAGAGUUAACAGUACGUGAAAUUGUUAAAAGGGAAACAGUUGAAGUUAGACUUGUUGUUGUUGGUUCAGCUCUUUAAGGGUGUUUUCUGAUAAUUAACAAACCAACAUCAAUCUUUGGGUGUUGGAUAAGGGUCAUUGAAAUGUAGCAGUCUUGGCUGUGUUAUAGUCAUUGACUUGGAUACAAUGCCUAGGAUUGAGGAUUGCAGUAAGCCAUUUAUUUGGUGGGACAAUU
rnacentral:rRNA from 15 species